UAGCUAGUUGGUGAGGUAAAGGCUUACCAAGGCGACGAUCUGUAGCGGGUCUGAGAGGAUGAUCCGCCACACUGGAACUGAGACACGGUCCAGACUCCUACGGGAGGCAGCAGUGGGGAAUUUUGGACAAUGGGGGCAACCCUGAUUCAGCCAUGCCGCGUGAGUGAAGAAGGCCUUCGGGUUGUAAAGCUCUUUCGGCCGGGAAGAAAUCGCAUGGGCCAAUACCCUGUGUGGAUGACGGUACCGGAAUAAGAAGCACCGGCUAACUACGUGCCAGCAGCCGCGGUAAUACGUAGGGUGCGAGCGUUAAUCGGAAUUACUGGGCGUAAAGCGUGCGCAGGCGGUUUUGUAAGACAGGCGUGAAAUCCCCGGGCUUAACCUGGGAACUGCGUUUGUGACUGCAAGGCUAGAGUACGGCAGAGGGGGGUGGAAUUCCACGUGUAGCAGUGAAAUGCGUAGAGAUGUGGAGGAACACCAAUGGCGAAGGCAGCCCCCUGGGUCGAUACUGACGCUCAUGCACGAAAGCGUGGGUAGCAAACAGGAUUAGAUACCCUGGUAGUCCACGCCCUAAACUAUGUCAACUAGGUGUUGGGUGGGUAAAACCAUUUAGUACCGUAGCUAACGCGUCAAGUUGACCGCCUGGGGAGUACGGCCGCAAGGUUAAAACUCAAAGGAAUUGACGGGGACCCGCACAAGCGGUGGAUGAUGUGGAUUAAUUCGAUGCAACGCGAAAAACCUUACCUACCCUUGACAUGCCAGGAACUUGCCAGAGAUGGCUUGGUGCCCGAAAGGGAGCCUGGACACAGGUGCUGCAUGGCUGUCGUCAGCUCGUGUCGUGAGAUGUUGGGUUAAGUCCCGCAACGAGCGCAACCCUUGUCGUUAAUUGCCAUCAUUUAGUUGGGCACUUUAACGAGACUGCCGGUGACAAACCGGAGGAAGGUGGGGAUGACGUCAAGUCCUCAUGGCCCUUAUGGGUAGGGCUUCACACGUCAUACAAUGGUCGGUACAAAGGGUUGCCAAGCCGCGAGGCGGAGCCAAUCCCAGAAAGCCGAUCGUAGUCCGGAUUGCAGGCUGCAACUCGCCUGCAUGAAGUCGGAAUCGCUAGUAAUCGUGGAUCAGCAUGUCACGGUGAAUACGUUCCCGGGUCUUGUACACACCGCCCGUCACACCAUGGGAGCGGGUUCCGCCAGAAGUAGGUAGCCUAACCGCAAGGGGGGCGCUUACCACGGCGGGGUUCGUGACUGGGGUGAAGUCGUAACAAGGUAGCCGUAGGGGAACCUGGGGCUG
rnacentral:rRNA from 1 species